CCGGCAGCGCCGAGCUGGGGCCGAGGGGGUUAACGCGCGGCUGCGACACGGGAGCAAGUUCGCUGUGAAUUGGGAAGCGCAAACUAUAGUAAUCCCCACCCUGCUGAGUGGCUUCCCCAGAGGUCUGAUACAGUGCCAAAGCCUCUUACGCAUACUGAGACAAAGCUUAUUUCAAGCCGAAUUCAGCUCCUGAAGCCACCAUACUGCUUCCUGACAGCCUCCAAUUGCACUGCCUCUGUAUUUGUGUUUCCUGCUGUUUAUAUUUACUUGUUCCCAGAGCCACAACAGCUACAAAAACAAAUAGUUGCUGUUUGCAGGGCUCUGUAUCAACACAGGAUCAAAUAUUUUACCCUCCAUUCUGCAGCCAACUUUUCCACUGUAUAUACAGAUCACUCAGGACCACCACUGAGGCUGAGAGCCGUGCUAGGAGAGCUGCCUAAAGUCACAGACAGAAAAUGGAGACAAGAAUUCACCUCAACUGUUUGCUGAGGACAUCAACUAUAUCUCUUCCUGGUGCUUUUUCUUGGCAUUUCAAGAGAAGAAAAUAUUCUAGCUCUUCAGAAAGAAUCAAUGAUACACUUUUUCCUAUUUUCCAGUCUUUUGUCUUCCCUUGUUGUUUUGAUCCACACUGCCAAAAUUACCUCAUCUGCCUUUCUGGUCAGAGGCACCAACAUACCUUGUCUCAAGUUCUGCCAUAUUUUCAGAAUGACACACUUUUGCCCCAAAACUUAUCUGAUAGUAAGUGGCAUAUUAUCGGUUAUACCUUGUCAGUUUGAUAUGUGCUAGGGGGCUCUAUGAAUUCACUGAAAAUGAGAGCAAACAAAACUAUCUGUAAAGGCUCCAUGAAUGGAAAUAAAUAUGUUGUUUUACCAUAAUUGUCCUU